AUUGCAUAAAGGCCGAAAAGAUGUUUUGAAUUGUUUGAGAUUUGAUCUAGUUCUUAAUUCCAUUAAUUGAAAAAAUUCUAUUUAUUUAUCUGAUUCUAUGUCACAAGUUGACUGCAUCUCAGAAAACUAAUUCCAUGGACAGGGAGCCUCCAGUGAUGGCUGAGGUCCUUCUUCAUGGUCCUGAAACCCACAUGUUCAAGUUUUCCGCACUUGUGAUUGCCAUUCCACGUGCCUGGCACAGAGGCAAUUAACAUGCUUCCAGGCCUCUCACCUGCCUCUUCUGGUGCCCCACACCUGGGCAAGCUGAGGAGGAAGCAAGUGCCCCCAUCUAGCUGCUGCAGGAGAUUCAAUCCACCCAAUCUCCUCCUUCUCGUGGGAACCCUCCCCCAGGCCCACCCCCAAACUCAAUAAAAGCCCUGAGCCAGCCUGCUUUCCUUGCUCCCUCAAGCCAUUUUCGAGCUUGAGACUGCUCUGCUCAUCCCAGAGGCCUCAGUUAUGUAUCAUGGAAUGAGCACCUCAUCUCUGUGAACAGUCGCCCCUAACUCUUCCUUCCCGACAAAAGAAUUCUGUCCUGACGGCACCCACUGUCUCUCCAUCUCCACCCGCCCUGUCCCCCCACUGCAGCUCUGCCUGGCUGCCUCUUUGCCAACUCCCGCAAAGAGUCUACUUCACGUUAGAUAAGGAUUCGAGGAGUCAUGUAUUGUUUUUAAAAGGAAGGAGGAGAGCAGACGCAGUCCUAAAACUGCAGGAGGAAAAGGAGGUGAUUCUGUGUCACGUUUGUUUUCAAGAGGGAUGCAGAUGAAAAGAGAAGCACAGGCGAAGCUGCCCAGCGUGCUGAGAUGAAGGAAAGCAUGGCCUUUGCCAAGCGGUGCCAUGUCCGCACCCGGGAUCCGAAACCACGAACCCCAGGCUGCCAAGAAGCGGAACAUGGGAACUUAACCUCUGUGCCACCGGGCCGGCCCCAGCGUUCCUGUGCCUUUUUCGGGGACAGUCUUUCAUGUAAUCAAUUCUUCUAUCAGCUGCCACCUUCAUUCCAGUGCACUUUCAAGCCCUUUCCUGGUACUACCAAGUCACACUGUCUUCAUUUGACAUUUGGUCCUGGAUGUCUUUCUGGAGGCCUCAUCUUUGGACCUUGUCUUCACCUGCCUCCUCCAGUUGUUGCAAGAAUUCUGCUAAGUCAGUUUAGCGAGAAUUCCCCCACCUUGAUAUCUGAUCACGCUGGCCUGCCUUCAGCAAGAAUUUAAAGUCAGUUUGGCAAAAAUCUCCAUUCUCUCAAUGUUUCCUCUUCAUAAUUUUCCAAUCUGCGACCCCCUCACUCUGCGCAUUGACUGAAAAUCCCCAACCCUCUUGCCGUAUUUGGAGUUGAGCCCAAUCUCUUUCCCCUGUUGCAAUACACCUACUGCCACAGUCUUGAAUAAAGUCUUUAUCAUUUUAACAAGUGUUAGAAUAAUUUUUUCUUUAACAAUCUUGUCCAUCGCUUUAGAGUCAGCAUCUAU
rnacentral:lncRNA from 1 species